CUAAAGGGGUCCAAAUUAUACAGUGAAAUAAACAAAUUUUGGUUUAAUAAUUACUUUUUAGGUAACCUGUUCUCAACCCCUGAUGUCCCUUCUGUUCCUGUCCAUCCUAUUCCUGUUCUUCCUAUUCCUGUUCUGCUGGACUUACCCAAUUUUGAAGAAGGUUCAAAUCAUGUCGCUUACGGUAACCAAAGGCAGCUGCGAUUCUCGGCCCAUUAGAUACUAAACAGUGUAGACAAAUCGUAAUGUUUGUGGACUCACAGAGGAUCUGGCUUGAGUUAAUAAAGUUCCCUUGAUCUGAGGAUUGGUAGUAUAGAGCGGAUGAAGGAUGAUGUUGUGGGACGGAUGAGGGAUGAGAUGGAAGCUCUUUUAUCUGAAGAGAUUUCUGGGGAGGAGGAGGAGGAUGAAGAUGAACGUGAUGAUUAUAAAAAUGAAAACCUGGAUAUUUUCUUCAUCCUGAAGUCAAGAUUAAGAAGUCAGGAUUAAGCAUUAAGCUCCAUCAAAUGCAGUCCUACAGAUGAAUUCAAUUCAUCUACGAUAUCCGGUGUUCAUACCCUGUAGGGAUAAAUUUAUCCUUAAAUUUAGAAGUGCCCAAAUUGGAUAUUGUGAUCGAUCAAGUGUUAAAAGAUUCUACAAAGUUUCAACUUCUGAUCCUACUUUAUUCAUUUG